UCACUGAGGGGCACAUUCUGAGUAGGCUCCACACCAGGAGCAGUCAUUGUCAAGGAAACAGGAGCUCUUUAACCUCAGAUUUUCCCCGUUACGAGGACUCAGCAUACUCUGGCACAUUCCUUCCUGCUCCUCAGGGAAGAGCUUCCAGAAGAUAGCUCUCAGCUUCUCACUGCCUAGCCAUGUUCUCAAUGACUAUUAUGCUGCUUGGAAUGCUCUUCACAGUGAGAGGAAUGGGAGCCCAGUCAGUGACCCAGCCUGACGACCACAUCACUGUUUCUGAAGGAGCCCCUCUGGAGCUGAAGUGCAAUUUUUCCUAUAGUACAUCUCUUUAUUUCUUCUGGUACAUCCAGUACCCCAGCCAAGGCCUCCAGCUUCUCCUCAAGUACAUAACAGGAGAUAACAGGAUGGUUAAAGGCAUCAAAGGUUUUGAGGCUGAAUUUAAGAAGAGUGAAACCACUUUCCACCUGAGGAAACCAUUAACCUAUUUGAACGACUCAGCUGAGUACUUCUGUGCUCUGGGUGACACAGUGACUGAGACUGCAGGGGGAGCUGAACACAAACCUCUGAGUCACUGGGGUCUUCAGAGACUCAAUGAUACGGCCUGA